GCCUGGGUGGCUCAGUCGGUUGGGCGUCUGACUUUGGCUCAGGUCAUGAUCUCGUGGUCUGUGGGUUCAAGCCCCGCGUCGGGCU
rnacentral:tRNA from 1 species